GACGAACCGUGCGAACGUUAUUCGGAAUCACUGGGCUUAAAGCGCGUGUAGGCGGGACGGCACGUCUGUCGCUGAAAUCCCCCGGCUUAACCGGGGAACUGGCGUAGAUACGACCGUCCUGGAGGGGCGUAGGGGGACCUGGAACUUCCGGUGGAGCGGUGAAAUGCGUUGAGAUCGGAAGGAACGCCCGUGGCGAAAGCGAGGUCCUGGACGCCUACUGACGCUGAGACGCGAAAGCCAGGGGGAGCGAACGGG
rnacentral:rRNA from 1 species